UACCAUGGAGACUGGAACAUGUUCCUCA
rnacentral:piRNA from 1 species